rnacentral:rRNA from 1 species
GAGCGGCGGACGGGUGAGUAACGCGUGGGUAACCUGCCUCAUACAGGGGGAUAACAGUCAGAAAUGACUGCUAAUACCGCAUAAGACCGCAGUACCGCAUGGUACGGUGGUAAAAACUCCGGUGGUAUGAGAUGGACCCGCGUCUGAUUAGCUAGUUGGUAAGGUAACGGCUUACCAAGGCGACGAUCAGUAGCCGGCCUGAGAGGGCGACCGGCCACAUUGGGACUGAGACACGGCCCAAACUCCUACGGGAGGCAGCAGUGGGGAAUAUUGCACAAUGGGGGAAACCCUGAUGCAGCGACCCCGCGUGAAGGAUGAAGUAUUUCGGUAUGUAAACUUCUAUCAGCAGGAAAGAAAAUGACGGUACCUGACUAAGAAGCCCCGGCUAACUACGUGCCAGCAGCCGCGGUAAUACGUAGGGGGCAAGCGUUAUCCGGAUUUACUGGGUGUAAAGGGAGCGUAGACGGCUAUGCAAGUCUGGUGUGAAAAACCCGGGGCUCAACCCCCGGGACUGCAUUGGAAACUGUGUGGCUUGAGUGUCGGAGAGGUAAGUGGAAUUCCUAGUGUAGCGGUGAAAUGCGUAGAUAUUAGGAGGAACACCAGUGGCGAAGGCGGCUUACUGGACGAUGACUGACGUUGAGGCUCGAAAGCGUGGGGAGCAAACAGGAUUAGAUACCCUGGUAGUCCACGCCGUAAACGAUGUAUACUAGGUGUCGGGUGGCAAAGCCAUCCGGUGCCGCAGCAAACGCAAUAAGUAUACCACCUGGGGGAGUACGUUCGCAAGAAUGAAAACUCAAAGGAAUUGACGGGGACCCGCACAAGCGGUGGAGCAUGUGGUUUAAUUCGAAGCAACGCGAAGAACCUUACCUGCUCUUGACAUCCCCCUGACAGGCGCGUAAUGGUGCCGUUCCUUCGGGACAGGGGAAAACAGGUGGUGCAUGGUUGUCGUCAGCUCGUGUCGUGAGAUGUUGGGUUAAGUCCCGCAACGAGCGCAACCCUUAUCUUUAGUAGCCAGCGGUUUGGCCGGGCACUCUAGAGAGACUGCCAGGGAUAACCUGGAGGAAGGCGGGGAUGACGUCAAAUCAUCAUGCCCCUUAUGAGCAGGGCUACACACGUGCUACAAUGGCGUAAACAAAGGGAGGCGAAGCCGCGAGGUGGAGCAAAUCCCAAAAAUAACGUCUCAGUUCGGAUUGUAGUCUGCAACUCGACUACAUGAAGCUGGAAUCGCUAGUAAUCGCAAAUCAGAAUGUUGCGGUGAAUACGUUCCCGGGUCUUGUACACACCGCCCGUCACAUCCAUGGGAGUUGGUAACGCCCGAAGUCAGUGACCCAACCGUAAGGAGGAGCGCCNAGGGCGGG